GGUCAUACCAUUUUGAAUAUAUCGGUUCUCGUUUGAACACCGAAGUCAAGCAUCAUCGGGCGUGAUCAGGUCCAGGGUAAUCACCUGGGAAAUCCGCGUGCC